UGGGCCCUACGGGGGGCAGCAGUGAGGAAUAUUGGUCAAUGGGCGCAAGCCUGAACCAGCCACGUCGCGUGAGGGAAGACGGUCCUAUGGAUUGUAAACCUCUUUUGUCGGGGAGCAAAGCGCGGUACGAGUACCGCGAAGGAGAGUACCCGAAGAAAAAGCAUCGGCUAACUCCGUGCCAGCAGCCGCGGUAAUACGGAGGAUGCGAGCGUUAUCCGGAUUUAUUGGGUUUAAAGGGUGCGUAGGCGGAUUUGUAAGUCAGCGGUAAAAAUGCGGUGCUCCACGCCGUAUCGCCGUUGAAACUG
rnacentral:rRNA from 1 species